rnacentral:rRNA from 1 species
AUUGAACGCUGGCGGCAGGCCUAACACAUGCAAGUCGAGCGAGCGGCGGACGGGUGAGUAAUGUAUGGGGACUGCCCGAUAGAGGGGGAUAACUACUGAAAACGGUAGCUAAUACUGCAUACUAUCGGAUAACCCAUAUGGGAUUAGCUAGUAGGUGAGGUAAUGGCUCACCUAGGCGACGAUCCCUAGCUGGUCUGAGAGAAUGAUCAGCCACACUGGGACUGAGAAACGGCCCAGAAUUCUACGGAGGAAGCAGUGGGGAAUAUUGGACAAUGGGGGAAAGGCUGAUGCAGCCAGGCCGCGUGGAGGAAGAAGGCCCUAGGGUUGUAAAGUACUUUCAGUCGGGAGGCGUUACCGACAGGAGAAGCACCGGCUAACUCCGGGCCAGCAGCCGCGGUAAUUCC